rnacentral:rRNA from 1 species
AGGACUAACGCUGGCGGCGUGCCUAACACAUGCAAGUCGAACGAAGUAGCAAUACUUAGUGGCAGACGGGUGAGUAACACGUAGUCAACCUGCCCUUCAAUGGGGGAUAACUAGCCGAAAGGUUAGCUAAUACCGCAUACGAUCUCUGAGUGGCAUCACUCGGCGAUGAAAGGAGUAAUCCGUUGAAGGAGGGGACUGCGUCCCAUUAGUUAGUUGGUGGGGUAAUGGCCUACCAAGACUCCGAUGGGUAGCUGGCUUGAGAGAGCGACCAGCCACACUGGAACUGAGACACGGUCCAGACUCCUACGGGAGGCAGCAGUGAGGAAUUUUCCGCAAUGGGGGAAACCCUGACGGAGCGACGCCGCGUGUGGGAAGAAGGCCUUCGGGUCGUAAACCACUGUCGAGAGGGACGAUAUUGACGGUACCCCUGGAGGAAGCCCCGGCUAACUACGCGCCAGCAGCCGC